rnacentral:piRNA from 1 species
UGAUAUGUUAAUGGAUGACUCAGCUUUUUU